rnacentral:lncRNA from 1 species
CAGCCGAGCGAGGCUCCGGGGAGGAGGGUGGGGCAGCGCAGAGGAAUGUUGGCCUCCUCUUCUGCCGCCCCCGAAACAGCUCACAGCUGUAGCAGUCGGAGCCCGUCCUUCCCUCUUUCCCUGCCUGCUCAUUUCUGGGGCUUUCCAGAGGAUGAGACUAAGCCUGAGAUUUCCAUCUCUCUGCAAAUAGCUCUCCCUGACCCAGCCCAAUGGCAGCGCUGGCUUGGGAUCUGUUUCUGAGUCCCAAGAUCCACCCACAGGAGCCGGAAGGAUCUGGAGCCCAAUCACGCAUUGCGAGGAGCAGGAAUCACAGGCCUUCCAGAACACAAAAAAUCGCUCUGGGCUUUAUCCCUUUCAGCAGUGAAAUUGAGGGGGGUGGGCAACAGGGGAGGGAGGGGGGAGACUGUCAUGUUAUUUGAGCUUUCAUUAGAUGCUUCUUACGGAUGUACUGCAAGCCCUCAAGUCUUGCGCCCACCCCUCCUCUGUCCUAGGAUCCCCCAAAUCCAGCUGGGGCUCCCCUGCUUUUUUGGGGCUAAUAAUAAUAAUAAAUUUUUAUUUAUACCCCACCCUUCCCAGUUCAAAAACCGGGCUCAGGGUGGCUAACAACAAAUUUAAAACACUUAAUUAUAAAAGCAGCAUAAAAUACAGUAUAAAAACAUGAAUAACAAUAAAAUUCAAAAAUCAAUUUAGGGGAAAUAAGCAUUAGAUAAUCCCCAGGGCUAGCUGGCUGAAUUGGUCCUACUUGGGCCAGCGAGGAGGUCUGGGGAGAAUUAGCUGUGGGGUCUCAGAGUGGGUGAUCUUCAUAAAAGGGGAGUGGGAGGGAAGAGAAGGAAAAUAAAAGAUCAGGCUGAAUUCAAAUUAAAGGCCAGGCGGGAUAGCUCUGUCUUACAGGCCUGACGGAAGGAGGUUAAAUCCUGCAGGGCCCUGGUCUCCUGGGACACAGCAUUCCACCAAGUGGGAGCCACCACUGAGAAGGCCCUGGCCCUGGUGGAGGAUAGUCUGACUUCCUUAGGGCCUGGGACCUCUAAACUAGGGUUAUUCAUGGACCUUAAGGUCCUCUGCGGGGCAGACCAGGAGAAGUCUAGUGUGUCUGUUGAGCACAAAAGCAUUGAUGGAGCACAGAAAUGGAGCAACAGGAGGAGGAGAAACAAGGGGACAAGCAGGAUGGGGCCUUUCUGCUGGUGACAGAUGCAGCAAGGCAGCUCUAAGCCAGGCCAGCUCAGAAUUGAAGGAGGCAGCAGAGAGGAAGUCUGUGCCUGUCACUCUCAGAUGCCCCCAGUUGACAGGAGGUGGGCAAACGGUGCCAGGGAGCAAUGGCCGCAGCUGGUUCAACCUGGGAUUUCAGCCUCCCAGGUAUUCUGCAAUUGUUUUACUAUCUACUUGAUGAACCCUCAAAAGCCAGUUGAUCCCACGGUAGCAUUGAGACCGUUUGAGAUACUGAACUUCCAAGCCAAAGACCAAAAGCAACCACAUGGGGCAUUAUACUGUUGUCAAAUCUAUUCGGUCAUCAAUAAAUGAGUGCAAAGAAUGAUCACUGGGAGAUCAAUUAAUUCACCAGGGUUUCCCCCCGCCCCAGUUGUUUACUGGUGCUCCAGCUUCCCUUGGGUGGGGGUCCCAGAAGAGCAGCCCAGAGCAAGGUCAGAUUAGCUGGCUUGGAACGUCCAGGGGACCUCCCCCGAGCUGGCCUGCAGAUCGGGUCCUGGCGGUCCAAGUAACCCCAGAAACUGUCAUGGGCCAGGAGUCAGCUUCACCUGCUGAGCAGCAGCCUGAAGGAGCAGAAGGCAAGGUGACUCUGCCUGCUACUGAUCAGCCCUCUUGCUCCUGAUGUGAAUCUGCUGGCUCCAGCUUCUUCAGCAGGGUUUGCAGCCUCAGUCAGUUGCUGGAAACAACAUUCGUCGUUCCUGGCCAAACCUUGCUGCUUCUUGCUUCUUGUGACCUUGGACCAGGGGUCAACAAACUUUUUCAGCAGGGGGCCGGUCCACUGUCCCUCAGACCUUGUGGGGGGCCGGACUAUAUUUUUUGGGGGGAAAUGAACGGAUUCCUAUGCCCUACAAAUAACUCAGAGAUACAUUUUAAAUAAAAGGACACAAUCUACUCAUGUAAAAACAUGCUGAUUCCCAUACCGUCUGCAGGCCUGAUUGAGAAGGCGAUUGGGCCAGAUCCGGCCCCCGGGCCUUAGUUUGCCUACCCAUGCCUUGGACCCUCGGCUUUCUUGACCCCUGGACCGUCUGACUACGUGAACUGAGAUGGUCUUGACCUUAGGACUAGACUGGACCUUGUACAUGGACUCUGCCUCCAGGCCAGGACCCCCCUGAGACUUGGCUGGUUGGCUCUGCAACAAAAACAGAUGAAUUGCUGCCCCACAAUGUGCCUUUCCUUCUUAUGUGCCUCCCAAUUGCUACGUGGCAAAUAUUUUUUAUCCUUUCCAGAACAAUGUGAGCCACAGAAUGCCCGGAGGAACAGGAAGCCACUGCUUCCCUCCAGAGACGGGUUGUGGGUUAUGCCCCUCAACCCCUCCAGUGUGGCCUACUCUGACUGGCAACAGCUCUCCGGGGUCUCCUCUGGCAGAGAACAGCCUUUCCCACCCCAGCUCCGAGAAGAUAGAAAAACAAGGGUGAAACAGUGGUUACACCAAAAUUCCAGUACUCAGGGAUUCCUCUGGGCAGUGCCAGCUUCUGCAGGGUGAGGGAGUGCCAGCAAGCUGCCUGCCAGUCACCCAAGGCAGGCUGCAAAGUCCAUCCUCCUGCUCUGCCCGAAUUCUCUGGCUGCCCGGGAGGAGGGAGGGGCUGGCUGGCUGGCAUCCCGUGCUAUUAACUGCAGUGGGAGACUCUGCAUCCGCAGCUGGCUAGGGGGACAUUUUUAUCUCUGGGCAUUUGUCAGGCAACAGUAUCCGCCAUGGUGGUGGGCUUGGCCGGCUGGGCUGCGUGCCGAGACUCAGCGGAGCCCCUCAGCCCCCAGGCCCUGCUUCAGCAAACCCCAGCAGCCCCUGCCCCAUGGAAGGGCUUGCCCUAUGGAGAAGGGGCACUUGCCCAGCCUCCUUGCAGAGGAGCUCGUCUUCCUCUCUGGAAGGCCUUGCCUGCCGGCCAAGAGACAGAAGCAGCCCAGAGGACUCCAUCGCUUUUGUCCUCCUCCGGAAAUAAGGGGGGUCUGCUGGGGAAGGGGGGGCUGGGCAGUGGGCUUUGUAUCUGCAGUCUCCUGGGCUCAGGGCAGGUCACUGCUUCUACCAAAUGGAUGCAUUUCUUCGGUAAAGCAUUCUUGAUAGGGCCAGGGAAACUGACAGGCGCUGAGGAGGGUUCGAAGAAGAAUAAGAAUAGGAAGAAGAAGAAGAAGAAGAAGAAGAAGAAGAAGUGAUGCCGCGGCUUCCAACCAAUUAUUAAAAUACAGUGGUCUGUUAAACAUUAAAAGCUUCCCU